rnacentral:antisense_RNA from 1 species
CACUCCGCAGAGGCCCGAGUGGGCUCGCGAGGGAACCGGUUCUCCGAGUCUGGCCGGCCACAACAACUGGAUUCUCUUUUCUAAUUUUUGCUGCAGCUUCUGCUUUGUAAUCAUAUGGACAGUUGUGCUUGUCAGAGUUAACGGUGAAGUCCACAAAACAAAUUUCCACAUCGGCAGUCAAACCCUGUAAGACCAACUUUCUUUCUGCACAUGAAACAUCUGUUUUUCUUUGGUUUGGGCAAUUCAGGAGCUUUUUCUUCACUCUGAGAAGUACUGGGCUGAAAAACUGAUGGACUGGGCUGAGUGACAACUGGCUCUCACACCUCUGUUUUCGGGGUAGUUAUUUUGUCCUCUGUUGAAAUGCUCAUUUCUGUCAUUUGCUGAGUUACAGGCAAGGCAGCCGCAGGCACAUUUCUUGAUUUUUCAGAUGUGCUGCCAGCAGCACCUUCACAGUUGUUUAAGCUAGUGUCUGCUCUCUGUACAGAUGCAGAAUCUGAGGUAGGACUGUUGGAACCACUAGCUGUCCCCAUUGGGCUCAUUCUGCCACUAUUCUGCUG